rnacentral:tRNA from 1 species
UGCCCAGGUCGUCUAGCGGUAUGGCGACGGUCUCGAAAACCGUUCCCCUUGGGAUCGCAGGUUCGAAUCCUGCCCUGGGCGU